AACGCACAUUGCGCCCUUUGGUAUUCCUUAGGGCAUGCCUGUUCGAGCGUCAUUUCAAACUUCAAGCCCCCCUCAUGGCUUGGUGUUGGGCGUCUGUCCUCCCCCCGGGACUCGCCUCAAAUGCAUUGGCAGCCGGCACGUUGGCUUCGAGCGCAGCAGAAACGCGCGCGGCGUCUGACGGUGCCUGGCUCUCCAGGAAGCCUCCCCCCCAAGUUUGACCUCGGAUCAGGUAGGGAUACCCGCUGAACUUAA
rnacentral:misc_RNA from 1 species